rnacentral:rRNA from 1 species
CCUACGGGAGGCAGCAGUGAGGAAUAUUGGUCAAUGGACGCAAGUCUGAACCAGCCAUGCCGCGUGCAGGAAGACGGCUCUAUGAGUUGUAAACUGCUUUUGUACGAGGGUAAACGCAGAUACGCGUAUCUGUCUGACAGUAUCGUACGAAUAAGGAACGGCGAACUCCGUGCCAGCAGCCGCGGUAAUACGGAGGAUUCAAGCGUUAUCCGGAUUUAAUGGGUUUAAAGGGUGCGUAGUCGGUCGGAUAAGUUAGAGGUGAAAGCCCGGGGCUCAACUUCGGGAUUGCCUCUGAGACUGUUCGGCUAGAGAGUAGGUGCGGUAGGCGGAAUGUAUGGUGUAGCGGUGAAAUGCUUAGAGAUCAUACAGAACACCAGUUGCGAAGGCAGCUUACCAGGCUACUUCUGACGUUGAGGCACGAAAGCGUGGGGAGCAAACAGGAUUAGAUACCCCUGUAGUC